AACCUACCUAUCAGAGGGAAGUAACCCGGACGAAAGUCGGACUAAUACCGCAUAAAACAGGGGCACCGCAUGGUGAUAUUUGUUAAAGAAAUUCGCUGAUAGAUGGGCAUGCGUUCCAUUAGGUAGUUGGUGAGGUAACGGCUCACCAAGCCGACGAUGGAUAGGGGAACUGAGAGGUUGGUCCCCCACCACUGGUACUGAGACACGGACCAGACUCCUACGGGAGGCAGCAGUGAGGAAUAUUGGUCAAUGGGCGGGAGCCUGAACCAGCCAAGUCGCGUGAAAGGAAGAAGGAUCUAUGGUUCGUAAACUUCUUUUGCAGGGGAAUAAAGUGCAGGACGUGUCCUGUUUUGUAUGUACCCUGAGAAUAAGGAUCGGCUAACUCCGUGCCAGCAGCCGC
rnacentral:rRNA from 1 species